rnacentral:rRNA from 1 species
UUGGACCUGAUAUCAGGCAAGAUUACCCGCUGAACUUAAGCAUUCCUAAACAGGGGAGAGAGAA